AGAUUGAACGCUGGCGGCAUGCCUUACACAUGCAAGUCGAACGCGAAAGCGGAGCAAUCCGCAAGUAGAGUGGCGAACGGGUGAGUAAUACAUCGGAACAUUUCCAGUAGCGGGGGAUAACCUGUCGAAAGAUAGGCUAAUACCGCAUACGACCUACGGGUGAAAGCGGAGGACCGCAAGGCUUCGCACUAUUGGAGUGGCCGAUGUCGGAUUAGCUAGUUGGCGGGGUAAAAGCCCACCGAGGCUACGAUCCGUAGCUGGUCUGAGAGGACGAUCAGCCACACUGGAACUGAGACACGGUCCAGACUCCUACGGG
rnacentral:rRNA from 1 species